GUAUUGUUUAUUCAUUUUUUAAUGUCAUUUUUUGAAAUUUUGACAUAGAAUGCUAAUCAUGAUUUUUAUAGUUUCUUAAAUAGGCUGGAUAUCAUGGUGAAUAUCAGAAAAAAGGUUGUUGAUGAUUCCAAAGCUCCACGUAAAAAGAGAUUAGUACGAAAAACUACACAUGGACAACUUAAAGUAGCCAACACAUUUCAACAACAUUUUAACUCUCUGGAUGUUCCUACUAGUUCUUUCUACAGCAUGAAUAUGCAUAAGGAUCUCAUGAAAAAAAUAUUAUUCACUUGUUGAUUUACCAAAAAACUGUACAGUGAGGUCCAUCACUAACACAUUUACAGAUGAGGCAUCACAUGAGGUUACCCCAGAAGAUGAUGUAGACAUGAGUGGUAAUGAAAACCAAAGAACACAUGUGGAAGAUGCGAGUCUAUUGCAACAAAAUGUUACACUUCUGAAGGAGAGACUCAACAAGUUCAAAAGAAGAAGAAAGGCCCUACCCAAAUGAAGAAUUUGAACGAAGUCAUUGCUCCAAUUGAAGUAAAGUUUAAUGAAAUGGGACAAUCACUAUCUGUCACUUUAUCUUCGUUUCUGGGCCGUCUUGUGAGGGAGACUGUACCAUAUACUCUUGUUGACUGGCGAUACCUUUCAGAUGAUAUGAAACUUGUUAUGUGGAAAGAUAUUCAGGUACAUCCUUCAAAAUAAUUCGACGUUAUAUAAUAUAACGUAAUAAGUAUUUGAUAUUGUAUAAAAUUGAAAAUUUAUAACUUGCAGCAAAGGUUCAAAGUAGAUGAAGAAUGGCAAAAAGACUACAUUUUCAAAGAAAUGGGUGGUCUCUGGAGAGCGUCGAAGUCUCGACUUGUGAAAAAGAUUAGAGAAGCACCAAAUGAAGCUGAAAGAAAGAAACUCAAACCUCAUCAUAUACUUAAACCCCAGUAAUGGAAGAAGUUUGUGAAGGAAAAGACGAGUACAGAAUUUAUGGUAAAUUCUACCUUUUCCCUUUUUUUAGAUCAAAUUUAUCUAAGCUAUGAUUAAUUAUCAAUAAACUUAUAUAAGUUUGGAAAUAUGAUUGUUAGGCUAAAAGCCAAAGAUUUAGAGAAAUUCGAGAAAAACAAAUCCCCCACACAUGCAGUCGUAAGGGAUUUGCCAGAUUGCGUGAAGAUAUGGUAACAUUCCACAAGCCUUCUUUAAUUUGACUAAGUCAAUCAUUUGCUCUAGAUUCUUAUCAUAUAAUUCUUCACUCUCUUAGCAAAAGAAGAGCAGCAAUCCAUCUUCUAUAGGUCCCAAGAAGGUUUGGGCAGCAGCAAAUAUAAAAAAGAAUGGUGAACCUAUAUGCAAACUUGUUGAAGAUACGCUUGUAAGUAUAAAUAAUUUAUUUUUCCUAGUUCUAUAUAUGCGCGCAUGCAUGUGUGUGUGCGCAUAUAUGUAUAUAUACACUUAUAUAUUGUCUUUUUAGGAAAAAUUGAAAGAUGCGAGUCCGCAUGCCUCUAACACUAACAUAAAAGAAGAUGCUCUUUCUAAAGUACUUGGUUCAAAGAAUACUGGACGAUUACGAGGGAUUGGAGGUGGAGUUUGCUAUACAAAGUAUUCCAUAUUAACUCAAAGGGAGUCUACUGUAGCUCAUUUAAAGGAAGAACAAAUCAUCUAAAGGUUCAAGUGGCAGAUAUGGUGAAAACAAUCAAUGACUUAUUGAAAAAACAGGUUAGUAAGUUCCAUUCAGUGAAAUAUAACUCAUAAGCUUUUACUUCACAUAGUAUAGUAACUAGUUUCUAAAGUUUUUUAUCUUUGUAGUUUCAGGAGAAGCACAUUGAAG
rnacentral:lncRNA from 1 species